GGGAAAUGGAGGGAGGAGAGUAAACAAAAGAAAAGACAAAUUUUCACUUCCCAUAAGAUGUCUGGAUGGACCAAAAUCCUGGAAAGUGGAUUAAUCCCUACUUUCCUAGUGGUAUGGGGAGUAAAAACCUUUAAAAUCAAAAGAUCUAGAG